rnacentral:rRNA from 1 species
UACGUAGGGGGCAAGCGUUGUCCGGAAUCAUUGGGCGUAAAGAGCGUGUAGGCGGCCCGGUAAGUCCGCCGUGAAAGUCCAGGGCUCAACCCUGGAAUGCCGGUGGAUACUGUCGGGCUAGAGUCCGGAAGGGGCGAGUGGAAUUCCUGGUGUAGCGGUGAAAUGCGCAGAUAUCAGGAGGAACACCGAUGGCGAAGGCAGCUCGCUGGGACGGUACUGACGCUGAGACGCGAAAGCGUGGGGAGCGAACAGG